CAGUUCGGGAGGUGUUGGCCCUCUCAAAAGCCAAUAACCCCAAGCUUGUCUUCCUAUGCGAAACAAGGCAAGCUUCUGAUAAAGUGAUGAGACUCAAGUGGAGACUUGGGAUGAAAGGAUUUCAUGGCGUGGAUAGUGAUGGAAGGGGAGGAGGUCUAGCUUUAUACUGGGAUGAAUCGUUGUCAGUAACAAUUCUGGAAUCUUGCAAGUGCUUCAUAGAUGUCCGGAUUGUGGAUGGUGCAGCGGAUGUUUCGUGGAGAGGGACCUUUGUCUAUGGUGAACCGAGAGUGGAAAACAGACAUAUCAUGUGGGAGCAUCUGUCAAGGCUUCGAGCCGUGUCACAGGAGCCCUGGCUUGUAUGUGGUGACUACAAUGAAGCGAUGUGGCAACACGAACACUUGUCCAGGGCAAUGCGGUCUGAGACAUAG
rnacentral:rRNA from 1 species